rnacentral:tRNA from 1 species
CAAGACGUAGCUAACACAAAGCAUUCAGCUUACACCUGAAAGACACCCUAACUGCCAGGGUCGUCUUGA